CUAUUCCAUGGCUUCUAGAGAAAAAUAAUGAGGAGUGUCAUGGGGUAUGACUAUAUAGGUCUUGUAGAGGAGAAACAGGCGCAUCUUUUGCGCAAGGUAUCGAAGGGAGCUAUGUUCAAAAAUCUGAAACUAGAGCUCAAAAUUUAAAAACAAUUGUUAAAAACAGGGGGGUUGGCCUAUUCCAUGGCUUCUAGAGAAAAUAAUGAGGGGUGUCACGGGGUAUGACUAUAUAGGUCUUGUAGAGGAGAAACAGGCGCAUGUUUUGCGCAAGGUAUCGAAGGGGCUAUGUUCAAAAAUCUGAAACUAGAGCUCAAAAUUAAAAAAAAAAUUGUUAAAAACAGAAGGAUUGGCCUAUUCCAUGGCUUCUAGAGAAAAAUAAUGAGGGGUGUCACGGGGUAUGACUAUAUAGGUCUUGUAGAGGAGAAACAGGCGCAUCUUUUGCGCAAGGUAUCGAAGUGCGCUAUGUUCAAAAAUCUGAAACUAGAGCUCAUAAUUUGAAAAAAAAUUGUUAAAAACAGGGGGGUUGGCCUAUUCCAUGGCUUCUAGAGAAAAUAAUGAGGGGUGUCACGAGGUAUGACUAUAUUGGUCUUGUAGAGGAGAAACAGGCGCAUCCUUUGCGCAAGGUAUCGAAGGGCGCUAUGUUCAAAAAUCUGAAACUAGAGCUCAAAAUAUGGAAAAAAUUUGUUAAAAACAGGGAGGUUGCCCUAUUCCAUGGCUUCUAGAGAAAAAUAAUGAGGAGUGUCACGGGGUAUGACUAUAAAGGUCUUGUAGAGGAGAAACAGGCGCAUCUUUUGCGCAAGGUAUCGAAGGGCGCUAUGUUCAAAAAUCUGAAACUAGAGCUCAAAAUUUGAGAAAAAAAUUGUUAAAAACAGAGGGGUUGGCCUAUUCCAUGGCUUCUAGAGUAAA